CCUAAAUUAACCCUGUCUGGAUCACACAUCAGGUGUGGGGCCCUCCCCUCCCCUCCCCUCCCCUCCCCUCCCCUCCCCUCCCCUCCCCUCCCCUCCCCUCCCCUCCCCUCCCCUCCCCUCCUCUCCUCUCCUCUCCUCUGCCCUCCUCCACCAUGGCUCCUUGUCUUCAAAUUAUGAAAAGGAGAGGAUGAGCAGCAACAAAUCUUUCGGUAACAUUUUUCAUAGGUAUACCUACUUGUACCAGAAGGUUAUCAUGAAAAGCCCCCGACUGUUUUAAACUCAACCCAGACUGCAGCCAGCAUUCAAACCUGUUGGAAUCUGUGGAAAAAUUCUUCAAACUGAAAUUCUACAACACAGCAACUUAAUGACAUCAAACAGGACUAAAGACCAACAUCUUCUGAAGAGAACAGAUUCUGAUUUGAUCAAUUAGGUCAUGUAGGCUGUGAGAAGGAAACAAAAAGACCCUGAAAAUGGUAACUCACGUUGAUGGUCAGAUCCCAGGUGUCUGUAAAACCCUUUAUCUGUGGCAUCUCCACUCAGCCAGCUGAUGAUGAUUUUCGAACCUGAUGGUGGUGUUGUGAAGAAGUUUCUCUCCUGGGAAGAGUGUCAAGUGCUGUUUAUUCAAGCCACCAGAAAUGCACUCUGAGAGACAGCUCCCUGUUCCCUUGUGCAAGUUUCCUUAAUAAUUUUUACCACUUGUACCUGCUGUAUGGCAGGGACUUCCCAGACUUCGGAAGUUCCCAAACUUUUUUUAUUCACAGAACCCAUAGGGUUUCAGUAAUUUUCCACUAUGUCCUGGGCCAAAAGAAAUCCCUAACAGCUCCAUUAAUUAAACAACUAGAUCCAAAUAACAUAAGAACCACUUAAAUAUUAACAACUUAGUUGGGCCGGGGAUUUAGCUCAGUGGUUCCAGCGCCUGCCUUGCGAGCACAAGGUCCCAAGUUCGAUCCCCGGUACCAAAAAAAAGAAAAAAAAAGAACAACUUAGUAAUUUGAGAAAAUGUCUAUAUAUAAAUGGAAGAAAAACAUGUAUUUCAUUUUCUUAAAUGACCACAAUUACUUGCUAAUGGGAUGGGCAUACCUCUUGUAAGCUAUUCAACUUUUUGUUGUUUUUGGCAAUAUGGGGGAUGAACCCA
ensembl:lncRNA